ensembl:lncRNA
CGGGUAUGAAGGAACCCUGUUAGAGGACUCAGGUAUGAAGGAACCCAGUUAGAGGACUCAGGUAUGAAGGAACCCUGUUAGAGGACUCAGGUAUGAAGGAACCCUGUUAGAGGACUCAGGUAUGAAGGAACCCUGUUAGAGGACUCAGGUAUGAAGGAACCCUGUUAGAGGACUCAGGUAUGAAGGAACCCUGUUAGAGGACUCAGGUAUGAAGGAACCCAGUUAGAGGACUCAGGUAUGAAGGAACCCUGUUAGAGGACUCAGGUAUGAAGGAACCCUGUUAGAUGACUCAGGUAUGAAGGAACCCAGUUAGAGGACUCAGGUAUGAAGGAACCCUG